CCUACGGGAGGCAGCAGUGGGGAAUAUUGGGCAAUGGGCGCAAGCCUGACCCAGCAACGCCGCGUGAAGGAAGAAGGCUUUAGGGUUGUAAACUUCUUUUGUCAGGGAAGAGUAGAAGACGGUACCUGACGAAUAAGCCACGGCUAACUACGUGCCAGCAGCCGCGGUAAUACGUAGGUGGCAAGCGUUGUCCGGAUUUACUGGGUGUAAAGGGCGUGUAGCCGGGUUGACAAGUCAGAUGUGAAAUCCUGCGGCUUAACCGCAGAACUGCAUUUGAAACUGUUAAUCUUGAGUACUGUAGAGGCAGACGGAAUUCCUAGUGUAGCGGUGAAAUGCGUAGAUAUUAGGAGGAACACCAGUGGCGAAGGCGGUCUGCUGGACAGCAACUGACAGUGAGGCGCGAAAGCGUGGGGAGCAAACAGGAUUAGAUACCCGAGUAGUC
rnacentral:rRNA from 1 species